ensembl:lncRNA
AUGUCGAAGAGUAUGCGAUUUCCAUUGCUACAGAUCCAUGCAGCAGGUCAGAUGCCGGGGGACAAGAUUGAGUCCUGCCUCUUCCUCUUUGGCCAGAGAGCUCUACCGAGGCACAAAGGAUGCUGGAAAGAAGAAGCAGCCACCAGAUCCAGUCUGUAUCCAGAUCAGAGGGUCACUGCAGUCACCCGGAUCCAGUACGUAUCCAGCCCAGAUGGUGGAUCAGCACCUAGAAAGGACCUCUACAGCCCUGAAAGACAGCGGAGGCCUGGACAACUAGAUGAGCCGCAGAGACAGAUCCCCUGUGAAGACCUUGUCUCAGACGACCAUCAGGACAAGACCACAGGAAACAGAUGAUUCUUCUGCACAAUCUGACUUUGCUGCAGCCUGGAAUUGAACUGCUGGUUUCAUCUGGCCAGAGGAGAACUGGCCCCCCGAAUGAGCCUGGUUUCUUCCAAGGUUUUUUCUCCAUUCUGUCACCGAUGGAGUUUUGGUUCCUUGCCACUGUCACCUCUGGCUUGCUUGUUGCUUGCUAGUUGGGGACACUUCAUUUACAGCGAUAUCGUUAACUUGAUUGCAAAUGAUUGCACAGAUACUAUUUAAACUGAACUGAGAUGAAUGACAUCACUGAAUUCAAUGAUGAACUGCCUUUAACUGUCAUUUUGCAUUAUUGACACACUGUUUUUCUAAUUAAUGUUGUUCAGUUGCUUUGACACAGUCUUUAUUGUUUAAAGCGCUAUAUAAAUAAAGGUGACUUGACUCCUCA